rnacentral:rRNA from 1 species
GUGGGGAAUAUUGCACAAUGGGGGAAACCCUGAUGCAGCGACGCCGCGUGAGCGAAGAAGUAUUUCGGUAUGUAAAGCUCUAUCAGCAGGGAAGAUAAUGACGGUACCUGACUAAGAAGCCCCGGCUAACUACGUGCCAGCAGCCGCGGUAAUACGUAGGGGGCAAGCGUUAUCCGGAUUUACUGGGUGUAAAGGGAGCGUAGACGGCGAAGCAAGUCUGGUGUGAAACUCCGGGGCUCAACCCCGGACCUGCAUUGGAAACUGUUUUGCUUGAGUGCCGGAGAGGUAAGCGGAAUUCCUAGUGUAGCGGUGAAAUGCGUAGAUAUUAGGAGGAACACCAGUGGCGAAGGCGGCUUACUGGACGGUAACUGACGUUGAGGCUCGAAAGCGUGGGGAGCAAACAGGAUUAGAAACCCGAGUAGUCC